UACGUAGGGGGCAAGCGUUGUCCGGAUUUAUUGGGCGUAAAGAGCGUGUAGGCGGCCAGAUAGGUCUGUUGUGAAAACUCGAGGCUCAACCUCGAGACGCCGAUGGAAACCAUUUGGCUAGAGUCCGGAAGAGGAGAGUGGAAUUCCUGGUGUAGCGGUGAAAUGCGCAGAUAUCAGGAAGAACACCCGUGGCGAAGGCGGCUCUCUGGUACGUGACUGACGCUGAGACGCGAAAGCGUGGGGAGCGAACAGG
rnacentral:rRNA from 1 species